CGGCGGACGGCUGAGUAACACGUAGGAACGUACCCCAAAGUGAGGGAUAAGCACCAGAAAUGGUGUCUAAUACCGCAUGUGGCCUUCGGGCUAAAGCUUUAUGCGCUUUGGGAGCGGCCUGCGCAUGAUUAGCUUGUUGGUGAGGUAAUAGCUCACCAAGGCGACGAUCAUUAGCUGGUCUGAGAGGAUGAUCAGCCAGACUGGGACUGAGACACGGCCCAGACUCCUACGGGAGGCAGCAGUAGGGAAUUUUCCACAAUGGGCGAAAGCCUGAUGGAGCAACGCCGCGUGCAGGAUGAAGGCUCUUGGGUCGUAAACUGCUUUUAUAUGUGACGAUAAUGACGGUAGCAUAUGAAUAAGGAUCGGCUAACUCCGUGCCAGCAGCCGCGGUCAUACGGAGGAUCCAAGCGUUAUCCGGAAUUACUGGGCGUAAAGAGUUGCGUAGGUGGCAUUGUAAGCAAGUAGUGAAAGCGUUCGGCUCAACCGAAUAAACAUUACUUGAACU
rnacentral:rRNA from 1 species